rnacentral:rRNA from 1 species
CAGGAUUAACGCUGGCGGCAUGCCUAAUACAUGCAAGUCGAAUGAGAAGCUUGCUUCUCAUGGCGAACGGGUGAGUAACACGUAGGUAACCUGCCUUACACUCGAGGAUAACCGUUGGAAACGACGGAUAAUACUGGAUAGGACAAAGAUUCGCAUGAAUCGUUGUUUAAAAAGCAAUGGUGUAUGAGGGGCCUGCGGUGCAUUAGCUAGUUGGUGAGGUAACGGCUCACCAAGGCGAUGACGCAUAGCUGGACUGAGAGGUUGAACAGCCACAAUGGGACUGAGAACGGCCCAUACUCCUACGGGAGGCAGCAGUAGGGAAUUUUCGGCAAUGGGGGAAACCCUGACCGAGCAAUGCCGCGUGAACGAUGAAGUAUUUCGGUAUGUAAAGUUCUUUUAUUAGGAAAGAUAGUGACGGUACCUAAUGAAUAAGCUCCGGCUAACUACGUGCCAGCCGCAGC